rnacentral:rRNA from 1 species
UACGGGGGGAGCAAGCGUUGUUCGGAUUUACUGGGCGUAAAGGGCGCGUAGGCGGUCGUGACAAGUCACUUGUGAAAUCUCCGGGCUUAACUCGGAACGGUCAAGUGAUACUGUCGGACUAGAGUACAGAAGGGGCAACUGGAAUUCUCGGUGUAGCGGUGAAAUGCGUAGAUAUCGAGAGGAACACCUGCGGCGAAGGCGGGUUGCUGGGCUGAUACUGACGCUUAGGCGCGAAAGCCAGGGGAGCGAACGGG